rnacentral:rRNA from 1 species
UCCAGACUCCUACGGGAGGCAGCAGUGGGGAAUAUUGCACAAUGGGGGAAACCCUGAUGCAGCGACGCCGCGUGAGCGAAGAAGUAUUUCGGUAUGUAAAGCUCUAUCAGCAGGGAAGAAAAUGACGGUACCUGACUAAGAAGCCCCGGCUAACUACGUGCCAGCAGCCGCGGUAAUACGUAGGGGGCAAGCGUUAUCCGGAUUUACUGGGUGUAAAGGGAGCGUAGACGGCAGCGCAAGUCUGAAGUGAAAUCCCAUGGCUUAACCAUGGAACUGCUUUGGAAACUGAGCAGCUAGAGUGCAGGAGAGGUAAGCGGAAUUCCUAGUGUAGUGGUGAAAUGCGUAGAUAUUAGGAGGAACACCGGCGGCGAAGGCGGCCUGCUGGACCGUAACUGACGUUGAGGCUCGAAAGCGUGGGGAGCAAACAGGAUUAGAUACCCCCGUAC